rnacentral:rRNA from 1 species
GACGAACGCUGGCGGCGUGCUUAACACAUGCAAGUCGAACGGAAAGGCCCUGCUUUUGUGGGGUGCUUGAGUGCCGCACGGGUGAGUAUCACGUGUGUAACCUCCCCUUUUCUUUGGGAUACCUCCUUUAGACUGGGGCUCUUACCCCAUAUGAGCUCCUUCUGCAUGGUUUUUGUUUUUAAGUUUCGGCGUUUGGGGAUGGACUCGCGGUCUAUCAGCUUGUUGGUGGGGUAGUGGCUUACCAAGGCUUUGACGGGUAGCCGGACUGAGAGGGUGACCGGCCACAUUGGGACUGAGAUACGGCCCAGACGGCUACGGGAGGCAGCAGUGGGGAAUAUUGCACAAUGGGCGGAAGCCUGAUGCAGCAACGCCGCGUGCGGGAUGACGGCCUUCGGGUUGUAAACCGCUUUCGCCUGUGACGAAGCGUGAGUGACGGUAAUGGGUAAAGAAGCACCGGCUAACUACGUG